rnacentral:rRNA from 1 species
AGAGUUUGAUCUUGGCUCAGAGUGAACGCUGGCGGUAGGCCUAACACAUGCAAGUCGAACGGCAGCACAGGAGAGCUUGCUCUCUGGGUGGCGAGUGGCGGACGGGUGAGGAAUACAUCGGAAUCUACCUUUUCGUGGGGGAUAACGUAGGGAAACUUACGCUAAUACCGCAUAAGACCUUCGGGUGAAAGCCGGGGACCUUCGGGCCUGGCGCGGAUAGAUGAGCCGAUGUCGGAUUAGCUUGUUGGCGGGGUAAAAGCCCACCAAGGCGACGAUCCGUAGCUGGUCUGAGAGGAUGAUCAGCCACACUGGAACUGAGACACGGUCCAGACUCCUACGGGAGGCAGCAGUGGGGAAUAUUGGACAAUGGGCGCAAGCCUGAUCCAGCCAUACCGCGUGGGUGAAGAAGGCCUUCGGGUUGUAAAGCCCUUUUGUUGGGAAAGAAAUCCUGCCGGUUAAUAACCAGUAGGGAUGACGGUACCAAAGAAUAGCACCGGCUAACUUCGUGCCACACCGCGGUAAUACGAAGGUGCAGCGCUAUCGGAAUUAUGGGCUUAAGCGUCGUAGUGUUGUUAAUCUGUGUGAAGCCUGGCUCACCUGGAUUGAUGAUAUGGCAUAAUGUG